GUCUUGCUGAGUUGCUGAAGUUGGCUUUGACCUUGUGAUUAAUUGGAGAUGAGAACAUUAUUUUUGCUUUAACUAGAGUUGCCCUUCCUUUGAGACCAUUAGUUUCUUUUCCUUGCAAGUUUUCCUUCUCUGCCUUCCUGCAAAGACAAGACAGAAUAGUGCUUUUGCCCUUCUCUGUGCAGUGUUGCUCUCUGAAGUUUUAUGUCAAUAUUUGCAUUAGGGAGAUUAAGAUGAGAGCCUGACUUUUAAUUAGACUAUUGUUUCAGUUUUAUAGUCUCCUUAAUCCACCCCUUUUUGAGUCUCAGUUAUUGCUUCUUCAGUACUAUGUAACUUAAGAGUGGAAGCAAAAUUGAGAUUCCUGGGGCAGGAUAUGUGAAAAGUCCAGUCUUAAAAGAAAAUUAUUUCAUGUAACACAACAUAAUGUAACAAAAUACUUUGUAAUUCUCAAUUCUCAGCAAUGUACCUGAUGUUACUUAGUUUAUCCAUAAAAUAAAUCGUGUACUAAAUCAUAGUUGAGCAAGAGAAGUAUACCUGCUAAGCACUGUAGAUAAUACUUUGUGUUAAUCCACUUCCUCAGUAUAGCAUAUGAAGUUGGUAGUAUGAAAUCUAUCUUGCAGAUGAGAAAUUGAGGCUGAGAAAGAAAGUCAUUUUUUUGUUUGUUUUGUUUUGUUUUUAACACUUAAAUGUUCACAUUUCUUGUAGCCCUAUCAGUGGUAUAAGUGGAAUUUGGACCUAGGUCAUUUGGGGCUUUUUGGUGUGCGGAUUAAUAGUAAACUACACUAUAAUCACUG
rnacentral:lncRNA from 1 species